ensembl:rRNA 5S_rRNA 5S ribosomal RNA
GUCUACGGCCAUACCACCCUGAACGCGCCCGAUCUUGUCUGACCUCGGAAGCUAGGCAGGUCUGGGCCUGGUCAGUACUUGGCUGGGAGAAAUGGAGGGUGCCUUGAGUC